rnacentral:tRNA from 1 species
AAGGAUUUAAGUUAAGUGUAAACUUUCAACCUUCAAAGUUGAUAAUAGGGAAGUUCUCUAAGCCUUA